AGGAAACGGCGGGAAACACACACGCACUGCCUGAAGCAACCGAUUAAAAAAAAAAAAAAGCGGGCGGGGGAGUGGGGUGAAGAGCCAGCUUCCGAGCCAGGCCUGCUGGCCGCCCCUGGUUUUGCGAGCGAAUGUCAGGGCAGGAUGGAGGUGCCGAACUCCCCGCCAGCUCCUGAGUCCUGAAGGUCGUCUUCUCCCCACCGUACUCCCCAGGACUCCGAGGCCCGGCGCAAUCGCGCGCUGCGGAGGGCGGCGGAGGAGAGGCACCAGGCGGGCCGUCGGGAGGUGGAGGCGCUGCGUCUGUGGACCCAGCUCCAGGAGCUACGGCGGGAACACGCGCGGCUGCAGCGCCGGCUUAAGCGCCUGGAGCCCUGCGCGCGCCUGCUGGAGCAAGCGCUGGAGCUGCUGCCCGGGUUCCAAGAGGUUCCGGAGCUGGUGGCGCGCUUCGACGGCCUGGCCGAGACGCAGGCGGCGCUGAGGCUCAGGGAGCGCGAGCAGCUCGCGGAGCUGGAGGCGGCGCGAGCGCGGCUGCAGCAGCUGCGGGACGCCUGGCCGGACGAGGUGCUCGCACAGGGCCAGCGGCGGGCACAGCUGCAGGAGCGCCUGGAGGCUGCCAGGGAGCGUACGCUGCAGUGGGAAUCCAAGUGGAUUCAGAUUCAGAACACAGCAGCGGAGAAGACUCUGCUCCUGGGACGCAGCAGGAUGGCUGUGCUCAACCUGUUCCAGCUAGUGUGCCAGCAUCAGGGGCAGCCUCCCACCCUGGACAUCGAGGACACGGAGGGACAGCUAGAGCACGUGAAGCUGUUCAUGCAGGACCUCUCCGCCAUGCUGGCCGGCCUGGGUCAGGCUGAGCCUGCAGCCCCUGCCUCCUAGCCCUGACACAGGUUGACGCAGCUGCUGCCCUUCUGUGGCCAUACAGUGCUCCUUUUCACAGAUGAUGGCUCCUGCAGGGAGUGCCCCCAGUGCCCAGCACAGGGCCAGGCACACAGUGGUGCACGGGAACGUCUGCUGAUGCCCACCCUAAGGCCAAUCAAGGAGCCACGGGGCUGGGUCCUGGUCCUCACAUCCUCUUCCGCAUCUUGCCCUUCUUGGAGCGGGCACCCCGGCCGAAGGCGCCCUGCUGCAGCUCCUGGACGCGGCGACGGUUGCGGGCAGAGAGCUGCUUGAGGCCACCACGCUGCAGGAAGCGCAGCUUCUGGGCCCGGCGCCGCUGCUUCAGGAUCUGCUGCUUGGUCUUGAGUUCCGGGCGGACUUGGCCUGCAGGGGUGCCUGGGGCGUGGGGCCGGGA
rnacentral:sRNA from 1 species